UCUAGCUUUAGGUAAAAAAGUUAGACCUGCCCCAGCUCUUGUCGAUGAACAACAUAUAUUGUCCUAUAACGAAGGAGGAUUCAGUGAUUUCCUUGACUUCAUUUCUGGAGAAGAUAUUGUGCAGGUAAAGUACAUAGAUAAAUUAAAAAUAAAUCCAUGAUGAUUAUAUAUAGUCCACGGACAGCAGAUAAUCUGUGCUAAAAUCCUAAGGUGUAUAACCAGUAGCCAUUUUUUCUAUGUACUUUGUGCCAAUAUCUAAGGGUGGGUGUUUGGUUCUUCACUGGUGCAUACUGAAUUCCGAACAGAACUAGUUCGAUUCAGUUCGGUUUUUUUCUAAUUCGGUUCGGUUCUUCGGUAUGCGCUUGAUAAGUACUUCUUACUGCAAACCCAAGGUUCACUAAAUCUGGGUUGAAGAGAAACCACCAUCAACGGAGGUAGACUGUGUAGAAACUGGGCUAGAGAUGGUGUGUGCAGCAUCACUUAUGUACACACGUUGUUAUUGUCUUAUAAAGAAACUGGUCUUUAUUCCCUACAUUCAAUCUUUCAUAGCAGUGUCCAACUUUUGCUCUUCUUAUUCUUUAUUGUUUCUAUUUUUUAAGAAUAAGAUUGAAUGUAUCAACAACUCUUGUUCAAAGUUUCCAUUUAAUAAUGAAAAUCCUCUGUUCUUAAAUACAUGUCUCUUGAGCGAUCACUGAUAUAUUUAGAUCAGCAUUAGAAGUUGAGUUUGAGGGAAGAAAAAAUCUUUAAGUGAGCUUGUACUAUAUAUCAUCAAAAUGUUGAUAAACAUGGACAUACAAGUAUAAUUAGGGGAAUAUAUGCCUAGAGAUAUGGUUCACUGAAAGGUCGCUGCAGUAUUCUACACUGAAGCUCCACAAAAUUUCAGUUCUUCAGUUAAGGACCCAAAAACCGAGAACCGAACACCAAAGUCUUAAAAAAUUUAAUACCGAAACCGAAGAAAUGAAUUAAUUUGGUCCAGUUUUUCAGUUAUUAUGCCUCUCCCUACUAAUAUCACUUGAGAGAGGCUCUCCUUUCUUCACGCUAGGGGGAUUUACUGUGAAAAAUAAGAAUAUAAGGAUCCAUAACUUUUGCAUCUCGGUAUAGCAGGACUUGAACUUGCGAUCUUUAUGACGCAUUAUCAGGACUGUGAAAAAGUCCAAGGUUGUACCAACUGAGCUACUAAUUAACAAAAUUAAGACGCAGCAUCAGGAUCUUCAAUAAGUCCAGUGAUUUACCUCAGUUAUCUAACAUCGUAUACUUCAGCAGAUAGAAGCCAGCAACUGGAAAAUUCAAAUAAUUUUCAAAGUGGAAUUAAGUUCUAAGUUCCAACAUAAACAUCUAGUUUGUAUACAUAUACAUCAAAAAUCACCUUCCACGUUUUGUUUAUAUAGCACAGAAGCAGCCAUAUACAUCAAAAUGACCUUCCACAUUUUGUUUAUAUAGCACAGAAGCAGCCAGCAUAACAAAACAGCUCUGAUAUUUUUGAAAAAGUCAACAGCUCUGAUAUUAAUAUAUCGUUUUUUAAAAUUACUUCAGGUUUUCUGUUGAGAAGUUUUCAUCGUAAGCCAACAGGAAGUAUGCCUUCAAACUCAAGUUCCAUGACUGAGGUAAUGCUCACAUAUGAUUUGGCUUAUGUUUCGACAUCCAAGCUGUUUUCCCUCCAACACUAUCCACUCAUUCCAAAGCACCUUCAAACUAACUUGAAAUUGUUGCAAAUCAAGGAAUAAAUUUUCAGGCAUUUACAUAUGAAUUUCUUUAACUAAAUUGGUUAUUUUAUAUAGUUUGUACAACUUACAAACUUGCAAUAUUUUCCACUUCCAAAAGGUUAUCACCAUGCAUAAUCAGAAUCAAUUGUUAAUAUUUCUCUAAAUGAACACAUGCACUUUGUUUAUCUUAAUUGUUUCAAUUUACUUCCAAUUAAUUCCUUAUGUCAGCUCAUGAUAUUUAAGAUUUAGUGAUCGUUAGUACAUAAUUCAAGCUAAUAAUGUACUGUUUCCAUCGUAGAAUAAUAGAUCAUCUCCUUAGAAAUAAGCACAACAUAUCCUCAUAUCUCGUAAUUAAAACAUCAUAUUUUCCCAAUUAUUUAAUCUAGAGAUGGCAAGAUUUCUGUUUUCCCCCAUUCAGAUAGGUGUGGAGAUUAAAUUUUCCUCCUUUAUUUGGAGCAAUUAGACAACUCUCCAAUUAUUUGAACAACAUCAUUGUUUAAUCACAACUACCCUUAUUUGUCCGGUGUUAAAGACUCUCCAAGGAGGAUAAUGGAUAACAGUUAAAAGCCAAAGACAUUCAAUAAUUCGACGAACAAAAACGCAGCACAUUAAUGUAUUUCAACUUUCAAGUAAGUUUAAGUAUUCAUUUUCCUCCUUGAUAUAACUAAGAAUUUUCUAAUUUCUUCAGCUAUUAACACCAUAUUUCUUAGAAAUACAGUUUACGAUGCAAUUUUAAGUGUAUUAAACAAAAUUAUCCCAACAUAUAUUCAGUACUAUAACAAAAAUCAUCUACUUGAAGUUACUAAAACAAUUGCUCGACUUCUUUCCCCUUUUGACGGUCAAAUCUUCUCAACAAAAUAUGAACAGAAAAAAUCAAAAUUGCAGAUAUACAUGAAUCUCACUAUAAUUAGUACAUUACACGCAACAAAAAAAAUCAUCAAAAAUACAGAAACUCUCCACUGUUCCAGGCCAAAAAAAAAACGCGGGAAAAGCACUUACGAUAAUCGAUUCAAAAAAUUAGCCGUCACUCUCUUCCUUCCUUACGUCUCCGCCGGCCAUCGCUAAGCCUCUUCUCCGUCGAAUUUCCUUCCUAACUUAUUCUGAUUAUUUUCAACUGAAGGUGGCUUUCGGGGGAGGGGUGGGAAUAAUAUCCUGCGCCGCGGGUUUACUGUAUGCCUUUUUCACUUCAACCCCUUAGUUAGCCACGUGUAUGAUAACUGUAUCAUACGGUUCACAAUUUAGACUGUAGAAGGACUCAAAAACUUUCUUUUUGGUUUAUGUUUUCUUUUCUUUUUUCUUUUAAUUGAAUAUGGGUUCAAAUAAUGUUUUUUUGAAAAUCCUAAUCCUAUUUUUUUCCCCCAAAAAAAUAAAAAGUUGAAGCAAACUGCCACCUUAUAAACACUUUCAGGAACAUUUCAUUAAAAAAAAAGAUAUAUCUUGCAUUAAAUUAAAUUUGAUUAUUCACUUAAGAAAAAAAUUACCAUGAAUAUCCUGCUUUUUCACAAUAUAUCAACUUUUUGCGAGGAAAAGAAAAAAACUUAAUAUAAACUUGAUCAUAUUUCAUACUUGAAUUUACCUAUUUCGUCUAAAUGAAUACAUUUUCUCAAAUUUAUUCAACUCAUUUUAAUCGCAUUUUAUACAUCAAACUUUCGUUGAAAAUCAUAUAUCUCAUAUCAUAUCGCAUGAAUUAUAAAUUAAAAGAGGAAAAAGUGCAAGAACGAUAAAUGAAUAAUAGAGAGGGAAGAUAAGAAAGAUGUCAAAAAAAAAUGUAACGAAAUAUAGAAGUAGUUAAUCAUUAAAAACGUUUUUGUAUUGCUAGACGAUAGAUGAUAUAAUAUUUUAUAUAACUUUUAAACGAUUUAAAUCGAAAAUAAUAAGAAUAUUUUUAUAUAACACAAAGAAAGUUCUUAAAACAAUUAUAAGUAUUUAAAAAUUAUAUGAAAAAAAAAAGAUGAUUGUGAGUGUGCAGGCGGUGAAUAUGUUGUAGAGAAGUUUUCUUUCUUUUUUUUAUGUUUGGAGUUGGCAAAGCUCCGAUUAAAUUUGGAUUGCGCAUUGCAGGAUCAUUUGGGGUGACGUUUCCAACAUGAUUUUCUUCACAUCUAAGGCUCAAACACGAGACCUCUGAUUAAGAAUGAAGUAGUGUCACCACUGCACCAUAGCUCAUGUGGUAUAAAAAAGCUUUUCCUGCAGUCAACUGGAGACAGUGGGAUUGACACUUGGAUCCAAAAUAGAUGCUUCUUAUGCUUAUCCUGAAAACUCCCAAAUUCUAAAUACACAAGAAUAUUCAUGAUAUACAAUUUGAAUAUUCACAUGUAUCUAUAUCAUAUAAUAAAAUAAAAUAAAAUACCACUAACUUCCGUAUCCGUAUAUACACAAGAAUGCUCACAUAUAUCCAAUAAUAUUUUAUACAAUGUGAAUCACUAGUUAAAACAUAUAUCAUAAUGAUUAAUUAACAUAUAAAAUACACAUAGAACAUAACAAAAAGGUCUCUUAUCAAUUAUGGGUUGUUUGGUCAGGAAGAAGGUAUUUACGAAUAAGAAUUAGCAUAAUUUUAUAUUUUGUAUUUUUUUUUAGUUUCUUUGUAUAAAAUUAAUUGCUAGACAAGAAUUGAGAGAGAAAAUCAGUGAACUUGGAUAUAUUUCACUCGAAAUAUUAUAAUGGUAAUUAAAUAUUUUAUUUUUAAAACUUAAAUGAAUUUCUAGUACAACAAACCAUUCCAAAGAUAUAGUUUAUGUACUGUAAUUUUUGCAUAUCUGAUUUCUAUAUUAUUUAUUCUUACACUAUUAAUAUAUUAAUAUAUGCAUAACAUUAACUAGUAACCAAAAAUCAAAUAUAUAUAAACUCUACACAAUCAAUCUCUGCAUAACUCUUACCAAUAAUCACGGUAAAAUAGCACAAUUUUCAAUUUAUUUAUAUUAGCAAUUGUUUUAAAAAACGAACACAUGUAACUUAAUAUCGUGAAAUAAAUUACACAAAAAAAUGAAGUAAAAUAUGUUUCAUAGAAUUGUUUUCCCAUUUCGGUCUAAAUGAAAUUCUAUGUUUUUUUAUCAAAAUAUAUAGCAAGAAAUGUGGUGAGAUAAAUAGGACGUGGUGAAGUUUGAAUCCUAUGAAUAGAAAAGAUCGCCUUAUGAAAUACAAAAUAUUUGGAUUAAUCAGCAAAGCAAUUAUCGAACAUUGAAUCAUAUUAAACAAAGGAAAAUAUACAUUAAUUAUAUAUUACUUAUCCUCUACAUCUUUAUUCAUACUCGAAGAGAAAUGGAAAAAAAAAUCUGGCUAAUAAAAAUUAUAGAUACGAAAAAGAUUUGGUAGCAUGAAAAGAUGCCAUUAAUGAAAUGAAGUUUUUGUUUAUAGCUGAUUCAAGUAGUUUAAGAUUUGUUUAACAUAGAAAAAUCUAUUUAUUUCAAAAGCAUUACAAAUUUAAAAUAUGUUUCAAUUGAAACAAAGUCAUGAUUAAACUACAUAUAUAUUUGGAAAACAGAAUGUACAUGCAAAUGGAAAAUAAUAAACAUGUGUAAUUGGCUGCCUUUAUUAUUAUAUUUCUAAUAAUUCAAUAAGUCAAAAUCAGAAAGAAAUUAAGGAAACACCAUAGUGAAAGUACUCAACCGAACUUAAUGAACGGUUAAAAUGGAAGGAAAAAAAUAUCUUUACCUUUGUAAAGUAAGAGGAUAUAUCAUCGAUCAUCUUCUCUAGAUUUCAUUUGUAGACUUACACUUGAAAAAAUGAUUUCAAGAUUAGACUUUGAAAAAAAAAAUUAAUAUUAAGUUGUACCAUAAGCUUUGACAAUAAAUUAAACUUCAAGUUCAAAGAUAAAUUGUACAUGUAGAAGAAUGCACAUAUGCUUCGAUGAGAUUGAAGGCUAGUUCACUUGAUGAGCUCUUUGCCUUUCGCUUGAUGUAAUAAGAAAAACCAUCAUCGUUAAUUACUACUUCGAAAGCAUGCAUGUUUUGUUAUCAACUUUGAUCAUGUUUUGUUAGCUAGAAUAAAAUGUUAGAAAUGGAAAAAGUACUACUAUAUUAUAAGUUGUAAAUGCAUGUUUUGUUAUAUUCAAUAGACAUACCAAAAACAUGUCAAUUCUUGCAUGCAAAUGUACUAUGCAUAUUCUCCAAGAAUCAUCCAUCUUUUGCAGAAUUUAUCAACUUUGAUCCUGUUAAAUAUUGUUGCCUAGCUACAAUGUAGUGCUUAAUUAUUUUCCUUUCUUCUUUUUUCUUCUAUAUACAGUCCUAUAUCGGACCAUCAUAAAGAAUUUAUAUAGGCUUACGUUCUACUGGGCCCUCACCAAAAGUACAACCCCCUACCCCACCAAAAGAAAAUACACACACAGGGGAGUCAUAAAUUUUACUAAGGAUAUCCAAGAAUAAUGGUAUGUGACUGUCAAAAUAAAACAAAAAAAUAUUGUAUUAUUUAAGGUUCAAACCCAGAACUUCUUCGUUCAAAUGGACACCUAAUAUGCCAAAGACAUAACUUUUGUCAAGGAUGUCCAAAUUAUAAAUAUAUAUCCUUUAAAUAUAAAUUUUAACAUAUAUAUACACAAUAUAAUUUUCCAAUGAAUGGUGUCCAGUUGGACACCUUGAGAUAGCUCUAGCUACGCCCCAGCACACACAAGGACCCUUUUAAUUCUCUAGGUGUCAAAGAGGGUCAAAUUAAAAAAAAUUAUUUUUUUUAGACGGAUUAAAAAGGAAAACGAAAAAGAGAACGGAUUUUAGUACCACGUGGGCUUACGAAAGAAAGAGUUGAAAUUCUUGGGUACAACUUGUAGCUAGAUUCAUGCAUGCAUGACAUUUCAAUAUAAUGUUUUUUAGUGCGUCAUUAUAUAUAAAAGAGGUAUACAACUAUUCAUUGUAUGAUACAUUGCUUUUUUAACAAAUCUAAAAACCAGCAGAUUUUACAAAACAGCUGCAUGUUGUGGUUUGGUUUAUUGGAUUUCAGGUUGCAAUUUGGUCACAUAUGUACAAGAAGAUAACUUUAUAGGAUUACCAUGCAUAGAAAUUAAUAUUAUUCCCUUCCUUCUAAUUUUUGUGACAUAUUUUGUUUUUUGAAAGUGAAAUAAUUUAAGUUUGAUCGAGAAUUUGCUCGCGAUAUCUUUAAAUUUUUUUAAAUGAAAUUAAUAUAUUUGUAAACUACGAAAAAAGUACUAUAUAUAAGUCACAAUAAUUAUCAAUUCAAAAUAUUUAAUAUAUAUGAAAAAUUUAGAUAAAAAAUAGAUUUGCUUGAAUCGCGAAAUCGAUAAUGUAUCACAUAAAUUGAUACUAAGGUAGUAUUAAUUUGGGCAAAUUACAGAAAUCACAUACUUUUAAGACAAAAUUACAAUAUAUCCCUUAAAGUUUAUAAUUACAGAAAUCCCUCAAAACAGAUACAAUGAUACACUAAUCUGAUGUGCGAGAUACACUAAUCUGAUGUACAUUUUAUACAUGAUACACUAUCUGAUGCGCGAGAUACACUAAUCUGAUGUGCGAGAUACACUAAUCUGAUGUACAUUUUAUACAUGAUACACUAUCUGAUGCGCGAGAUACACUAAUCUGAUGUGCGAGAUACACUAAUCUGAUGUACAUUUUAUACAUGAUACACUAUCUGAUGCGCGAGAUACACUAAUCUGAUGUGCGAGAUACACUAAUCUGAUGUACAUUUUAUACAUGAUACACUAUCUGAUGCGCGAGAUACACUAAUCUGAUGUGCGAGAUACACUAAUCUGAUGUACAUUUUAUACAUGAUACACUAUCUGAUGCGCGAGAUACACUAAUCUGAUGUGCGAGAUACACUAAUCUGAUGUACAUUUUAUACAUGAUACACUAUCUGAUGCGCGAGAUACACUAAUCUGAUGUGCGAGAUACACUAAUCUGAUGUACAUUUUAUACAUGAUACACUAUCUGAUGCGCGAGAUACACUAAUCUGAUGUGCGAGAUACACUAAUCUGAUGUACAUUUUAUACAUGAUACACUAUCUGAUGCGUGAGAUACACUAAUUUGAUGCGCGAAAAUGAGAGAUUUUGGAGAUUUGUAAAACUUAUAGGGGAUAAUGGUAAUAAAUAAACUAAAAGGUGGGAUUUCUACAAUUUUUCCUAUUAAAUAAUAGAUACAAGGCGUUGGUCAUCUAUAUAUAUAUAUGUGUGUGUGUGUGUGUGUGGCAUCUUCUUUUGCUAUUAAUAACGAUUUUGUUAUGCCUAGCUAGCUCAUACAUGCAACUUGGUCACGUGGGAGACAAGAAGAUAUAUACAUAUGGAUGAUUUUUAAUUAUUUUUAGUCAACAAAGAUAAUGAAAACUCAUAAUGAUAGUGCUCUUAAUAAGUGAUAAUGAAAAUAAAUAUAAUUUAAUUUGAGCUUUAUUUGAGUUAUUCCAUGCUUAUAAGCUAUAAUUCUAUAUAAAAUUUAAUUUGUAUCAAAUCACAUUAUAAUAGAUAUUUUUAAAGUAUAAAGUAAUAUUUAUAAAAUUUGUAUAAAUAUAUUAUCGAAUUGGAUUGGUUUGAGCUUGACUUUGGGUUUUCUUUCUCAAUAUCAAACAAAGUCCAAUUAAAUCACUAGUAUUAAAAAAAUCGAUUUAUAAAUUUGAUACGAUUUGUCAAUUUUGCUUUUGAAUACCCCUAUCUGUAAUAUGAGCAUAUAAAUUGCAAUGUCUCAACAAUAAUUUAGUAGCAUACAUUUUCAGCUAAAAAUAUGUGGAAUAUUGUUUGUAGAUAGAUUACAAGAAUGAUUUUAUAAAGUGGAGAAAAAGUAGUGAACAAAACUUUUGUCAAUACAUGAUCAUAACUUAAUUGUGAUUAAUUUAACAAAAAUAAGUAAAAUGAAUAGUAUUUGUAAGUCUUGUCUGUUCGUUGUAACUUAUACUUAAUUGACCAACACCUGUUUGUAGCCAAUUGAGCAAAUAUUUACUGCUUUAAUUUGACUUAUUUUGAAAUGUCCAUAGCUUUUUUUAUUAAUCAAUAAGACCCCAGGGUCAUUUUAUAAACAAGAUUAAAAAAAGUACAUAUCUAAUUCUGCGAUACUUCCAUAAAUUAUGUUCCAUAGAUAAAAGUAAUUUAUGCCUACAACUUAUGUCCGAUGAUCAAAGAAAUUUUGCCAAUCAAAUUUUCUCAAGCGGAGAUUAUCUUUUAAUUAAAAUGGGAUUAAAAGUACAAAACCAUAAUUUAUUGGAUCUAAUCUUGUAAAUUACCCAAUUGCAAAUAACUUAUGCAUAUUUUUUUCUCAUUAAAAAGUGACUAUAUCCAAUAAUUUCGCUAAGGAUUUCAAUGAAAAGAUCUCCAAACUUAGUUGGAGAAGUAUGACAUGUCAGUUUUGCAGCAAUUCUCAAUAUUCUAUAAAGGCUCACAUCAAUUAUUAAAAUUAAAGAUUUAUUUUGAACUACAUGUUACAGUCACUAGAGACCCUUGAAUGAUAUAGUUUGACUAUUUUUUAAUUAGUUGGCGUGAAUUAUUUUUUAUCCCUAAACUAUCGACAGUCUUAAAAACACUCAUUUACUUGACUAAUUGAACUUAAAUGCACCCCAAUCUUGCAACAUGAUUGAUACACCCUACCUAAAUUCUUGUCAAGUUUAGAAUGUUUUCAAUACUUCUCUCAGUUUUUUAUUAAGAGUCACAUGUUCUUACAAGAGUUUGAGACCACAUGCUAUGUCAUGUGGCAAAUUUGGGGUAUAUCUAAGUUUAGUUAGUCAAGUAGCAGAGUAUUUUUAAAACUGUCAAUAGUUCAAAAUAAAGCUAAUAAUUUACGUCAAGUUCAGAGUGUUCUCAAUACUCCUCUCUUUUUUAAUUCACUUAGUUAAAAAGCAAUUGACGUAUAUACUUCAUAUGAUUCAUUUGUCCAUUGCUUAGAAUCGUCCAAUACUCAUUUAUGUAUAGAUUUUUUAACCAACGGCAGCACUUUUUUUUGAACUUAACAUACAUCGUAUGCCUCAGUUAAUUAAUCUAAGAUCGGCCGAUGGCGUAUUUGACAGAUUUUAAAAGAUGCGAAACUCUUUCCCUUUUAAAAUAAGUAAAAUCCUUACAUGGAACCUUAAGUUAAGUAGACCAUAAAGAUGGAGUUUUAUUUUAAGCAUAACUUAGUUAAGAUAGGUGUCCUAAUCCAUCAUAAAAAUAAUUAAGUGCUGAUUUCUUAAAUUAAUUAAUUUGAAAAUCAUCAAUAUGUUGUACGUUGAUUUGAACCCAAUUAAGAUGAGGGGAUAACAAUUACUUAUUAUCUUAUUCAUCGAUUAUUAUUAUAUUAUUAUUGUUGUUUUUUUACUAUGGUUAUCUCUAAUAUUUUUACUCUUUCAGUACUUCUCUCUUUUCAUUAUUUUCAUCAUAGCUUUUUUUUCAUCACAGCUUUUUACACUUGCAUUUCUUUUCAAUCGUGUUUUGAAAAGCCAAUGUCUAUCAAAAGCAAUCUUUCUAUCUCAAGUUUCUCUACCUCACAAGAUAAGGUUAAGAUUUGCAUGGACCCAACCCUCGUAGAGCCAUCUAUCAAAAAUGGUCUCUCCACCUCACAAAAGUAAAGGUAAAACUAUAUACACCCGACUUUCUCCGACUCUCUCCAGACCUAACUUGGGGAGCUAUAUUGAAUAUCUUGCUGUUAUGAGAAUUAAACCAACAGACGAACUUAUAAUACAAUCUAUCAAAUUAUUCUUAUGUGAGAAAUUUUCUCUGUAAUACAUGGUAAUUAUUACUUUUCAUUAAACUUACACUCGUACAGAUAGACCUACACUUAACCAAUUUUUAAUAACUACAAAAAGAUAAACAAAUGUCAGCCUAAAUUUUUUUAUUCGAUAUAGAAUACAAAACUAUUUAAUAACUAGAAAAAGAUAAACAAAUGUCGGCCUAAAUUUUUUUAUUCGAUAUAGAAUACAAAACUAGUGUGAAACCUAAACAGUAAUAUGCUCUAUUUAUUUAUAAAAGUUAUCCACACACAAAAGAAAUUCGAAGUCGAAAAAGAUAUAUACGGUCAAUCAAAUUUGGUUCGUGAAAAAGAAAGAUAAGGAAGGAAAAAAAAUUCGAAGAAGCAAAUGUUUAAAAUAAACAACAAAAUAAAAAAUUGCCGUCUUUGUCAUGGCGUGAAUCUGAACACGGUUACUCUAUCGGAUUCAACUAUUAGAAUCGCCAAUUACCAAGCCCUAAAAAGUUUCACUCUUUGGCACUUCAUGUAAAAUGACUAUAUAUUCUAUAUUUCUCCAUUGAUUAUAAUAGUCAUGGUACCAUCACAUUUUACGUAUAUUCAUUACAUUAACAUGUAUAACUCGAUAAAUAAUUUAAAGCUCCAACCAUAUCUUCAUAUUUUCCUGCUUAUAAAUAGGGAGUUAAAAAGUCAUAAACAUAACACAAUAUGGUAGGAAGAAUGAGAGAGAGCUCAGCUUCAGCAAAUGGUUCAUUUACUAGUGCCAUGACACUUAUUGAAGAGGGACUAACCUAUGUUCCCAAGCGUUACGUCCUUCCACCAUCCCUACGCCCCGAUGGAACCCUGUGUAACACAUGCUUGCCAAUUGUGGAUCUAUCCAAUCGGCAACACCCUCUUCUUCGGUCUCAGAUAAUCCAGGAUGUACACCUGGCUUGCAAGAAAUUUGGUUUCUUCCAGGUACUACUUGUCGUGAAGUGUCCAUGAUACCUGCAAUCACGCACUAGCUAGAAUAAGCUAUUUAUUUAUUUCUUCAGUAUACAUAAAGUUCCUAGAGAUAGGGAUCCAAAUAAGAAGAAUAUGCAUGCACCAAGUAACGAAAAAGAUGUCGUCAGAUCGGCAUAUAGAAAGUACUACAUGGUGCAUUAGAGUUCUAAGCUUCAUAUCCCUUUGUCUCAACUCUUCCUUUUUAUUUUCAGUUGAUCUGUUAAAACAGACAUCCUAGAUUUUGAGAUACUUAGGUUGUCUAACAGGAAGAGAAAUAAGACAAUCUUCACAGAUUCACCCUGAACGUAAAAUAACAACAUGCAUGCAAUAAAUGACUUUGCAGGUAGUUAACCAUGGUAUCCCAUUGUCAGUCAUGGACAACGCCAUACAUGCUGCGAGUGAAUUCUUUGAUUUACCAACUCAAGAUAAAAGGCAUCUUUUGACUUCGAAUGUUUGUGACCCCGUAAGAUAUGGUACCAGUCUAAACCAUGUCAAAGACAAAGUACACUUUUGGAGAGACUUCCUCAAGCACUAUGCUAAUCCAACCUCAACUUGGAUUGACUUGUGGCCAUCAAAUCCCAAAUGUUACAAGUAAGUCUUUCAUUGUCGUUGUUGAAUGUGUUUAGCACAUAUGUUUGUUUUAUAGAUGCAUAUUCUUACUGUCCAAGAAAGAUAUAAUUUCUUCAAGAUCCUAAAGAAGUUAUUCAUGCAGGAAGAAAAUGGUAAACUACACUAUGGCAGCACAAAAGUUGCAAGAAGGACUCAUGGAAGUGAUAUUUGAGAGCUUAGGACUAAACACUAAUUACUUACAUGAAGACAUUGCGGAAGGCUCCCAGGUCAUGGCAGUUAAUUGCUAUCCAGCAUGUCCUGAGCCAGAUCUUACACUAGGAUUGCCACCACACACAGAUUAUGGUAUGAUAUCCAUCAUUCUACAAAAUCACCAGGGCUUGCAAAUCAUGGGCCAAGAUGAAAAGUGGCAUUCAGUUCCACUCAUUGAGGGAGCUCUCACUGUUCUGCUGGGAGAUCACAUGGAAGUACUGACCAAUGGGAUAUACAAAAGUGUUGUCCACCGAGCAACAGUUAACUCAGAAAAAAAGCGCAUUUCAAUUGUCAGCCUUCAUAGUCUAACUUUAGGUAAAAAAGUUAGACCUGCAUCAGCUCUUGUUAACGAACAAAAUAUCUUGUCCUACAAAGAAGGAGGCUUCAGUGAUUUCCUUGACUUCAUUUCGGGAGAAGAUAUUGUGGAAGCAAAGUACAUAGACACAUUAAAAAUAAAUACAUGAUGAUUAUAGUACAUGGACAACAGAGCAGGCAAUACUGGAAUUCUCAUUUUUACACUCUUCAAACUCCAUUUUGUAUGAUCCGUGUUUUACAGUAGCCAGAUUUUCUAUGUACUUUGUUCGAAUUUUGCUGGUGAGAUUUUUUUAUUUUUGCUUUUUAUUUUAUUUUGUUGAGAAAAAAAUAAGAGCUCUUCCUUCAUACUAGGAGGCCUUGCUGUAAAAAAAAAAAAUUGAACAAACUUACCAGCCAUUUCAUCUUAACCAAGGUUUCCCUCAAGGCCACUUAUUUUGUUGCACCACCAACAAAAUAAAAAUGCAUCUUCAGGAUCCGAUGAUUUAUCUCACUUAGCUAACAUCACAACUUGGCAGAUAGAAGCCAGCAACUGGAAAGAAGUUCUAACAUUCACCACAUCAAGUCCAAUUUAAGCCAAAUGUUGGUCAUACUACAAGUUUAGAACUCGAGCCACAUUCAUCACUGGUAGACGCACCUAUUGGGAAGAUGUUCUCUCACACAAGGUAAAUUUUUAAUGGUAAAUAGACACAAGAAUUAGUUAUGACCUUAAACUAAUUAGACCAGCAAAGAACAUUAUAUUGAUUUACAGCCACAACCAUAUACAGCCAAAAUCACCUUCCAACAAUACAUUCUGCACAUAUAACACAGGAAUAGCCAGUAUAACAACUGCUCUGACAUUAAUAUUAGUAUCAUUAUUUUGUGUGUGUUCUUUUAGGUUUUCUGUGUCAGAAGUUUCCUUUGUAAGCUAACAGGGAAGCAUGGCUUCAAAACUCAAGUUCCAUGACCCUGGUAAUGCUCACGUUUGAUCUCGCUAAUGUUCAGACACCCAAACUGUUUUACCUCCAAUACUAUUUACUCAUUUCAAACCUUCUCCAAACAAUCUUGUUAUUAUCGCUAGGGAUGGCAAUAGGGCAGGGCAUAUUCGGGGUGGGGCAGGGAGUGUUGUGCGGGACAGGGCAGGGCGGGACAAAAUAUAUUUUCGAAAAAUUAUAAUGAAGGCAGGGAAAGUGGUAGGGCAAGGGGUUUCAGAUGCAAAUUGAAAAUUUCUCAACCUUAUUUCAGUGUCGACAAUGGGAUUGUUGUUGUCAACGUACUAAUGAAAUAUCAAUUGUUGGGUGCUGGCAACGUUUAAAAUAAGAUUUCAUACUAAAGGAAUAUCAAUAACUUCUUUUUUAUUUAAAUAAGAUCAAUAUGGGACAACUGUUUUACUAUUACUUGAAAUCAAAUUAUUUCAAUUACAAAAAUAUUGAAAUAAAAAUAUUGUAAAUUUUCCCUGCUACUAAUUCCAAAAGUAAGCACUCGCAAAAGCCAAAACAACAUAGAAACUAAGUUUGUGUUGUAUCAUUUUAUACUCCCUCCGUUCACUUUUACUUGUCCACUAUUCCUAAGAAUAAAUUUUACUUUUAACAUAUCAAGAAAAGAUAAUUAUUUUUUUCUAUGUUUUACCCUUAGCAUUAAUUACUUAUUUGCCGAAUCAUUUUUCAAGACCUAAUACUAAACAUCAAUUAAUAAGGGUAUUAUAGUAAGAUACUCAUAUAAAUAAUUGUUUCUUAAGGGGUUUGGCGUGUAAAUCCAAAGUGGAGAAGUAAAAGUGAACGGGAGGAGUAUUUGGAAGACCAAAAAGACAAAAAGUAUAUCUCUCUCGCUCAUACUUAAUACAGUAGUGACGCAUUAGUUCGGGUAAUGGAGACAGCAGCAUAGGAGGGGUUUUCAGGAACUCUGAUGGUCAUUGGAUACUAGGCUAUUGUAUGCAUAUUCCCAAUACUACAAUCACUGAAGCUGAACUAAAGGGUCCAGACUAUGCUUAUAUGCAUAUGAAUCUACAUCCACUUCAAGUGGAAAUUGACGCACAAGAGGUGAUCACCUUGCUCUCAUCAUCCAAGGCAAAAUAUGCUAAUAUUUUGUCUGACUGCAGGUCCGUACUCCGACAGUUACAUGAUCCAGUCGUCACUCACAUAUACAGGGAGCAGCACAAGGCAGCAGAUAGUGUAGCUAAAUAUGGAGCAAACAAAACAUUGACUGCUAUGACACUUUUUGAUAGCCCACCUCUUUUUGCUGAAUCAAUGGUUGAAGCAGAUAGACUAGGCAUCACCUUUUGUCGACGUACAACUUUUUGUAACUUACCAACUGAUAGUUUAACUAGUGAGGCAUGUAGUUCAUCUAACCCUACAAUGCCCUGUCCUGUCCUGCCCCGAGCCUCCCUAUUGAUAUUCCUAGUUAUCGCAAACCAAGGAAGGCAAAUGCAUCUCAAUUUCUAUAAUUAAGUUGGUUAUUUUACAUAGAAUUGAUUUCUUAUUGCACUAAAUGGCUGCAAAGUGCAAUCUGUCACCUCUGUUAAUCAGAUAACUUGGGAGACUUACUAUGUUAAUUAUCUCCAUGCAUCAUCAGAAUCAGAAUUAGUAGUAGCAUUCAUUUAAAGACUAUUAAACAAAAUUAUCCCAACUUAUUUCUAAUUCCUUCAGCAAUUGAAGCCAUAUUUUUAGAAAUUCAGCUUAUGGCGCAAUGCUAAGUAUUUAACGACUAUUACACAAAAUCAUCCCAACUUAUUCAGUAACUAUUACAUAAUUUAGUUACUAAACCAAAAUCAGCGACUUGAAGUUACUCGAUUCCUCUCAUGAUGGUCAAAACUUGCGCAAAAUAUAUGAAUAUCAUCAAAUAAAUUGUAGUUUUACAUGAUUCUCACUAUAUCUAAUAAAGACUUUAUUUGCACACAAAAAUUGGAGGAAAAAAUCAACAUAUUCGAGGCAAAAACACUUACGAAGGAAAGUGAAAAAUUGAUUCAGAAAAUUAAACUCUGCAUUUUCUUUUACGUCUCUGAUCUUCUCUGCCCCUACUGCUUUGCUUCUUCUCCAUUGAAGUUUCUGGUUUUCAAUUUUCAUUGGAAGGGGGCUUGGCUUUCAAACGGAUUAAUUUCCUGCUCCGCCGGUUUUACC
rnacentral:lncRNA from 1 species